rnacentral:rRNA from 1 species
AGUGAACGCUGGCGGCAGGCCUAACACAUGCAAGUCGAACGGCAGCACAGUGGAGCUUGCUCCAUGGGUGGCGAGUGGCGGACGGGUGAGGAAUACAUCGGAAUCUGCCCAGUCGUGGGGGAUAACAUAGGGAAACUUAUGCUAAUACCGCAUACGACCUACGGGUGAAAGCGGGGGAUCGCAAGACCUCGCGCGAUUGGAUGAGCCGAUGUCCGAUUAGCUAGUUGGCGGGGUAAUGGCCCACCAAGGCGACGAUCGGUAGCUGGUCUGAGAGGAUGAUCAGCCACACUGGAACUGAGACACGGUCCAGACUCCUACGGGAGGCAGCAGUGGGGAAUAUUGGACAAUGGGCGCAAGCCUGAUCCAGCCAUGCCGCGUGGGUGAAGAAGGCCUUCGGUGUAAGCCUUUGUCCGGUAAGAAACGACCUCCGGAUUAAUAACUCUGGGGUAAUGACGUACCGGAAGAAUAAGACACCGGCUAACUUACGUGCCAGCAGCCGACGG